rnacentral:rRNA from 1 species
AGCGAACGCUGGCGGCAGGCCUAACACAUGCAAGUCGAACGAACUCUUCGGAGUUUGUGGCGGUCGGGUGAGUAACACGGGGGAACGUUCCUUUAGGGACGGAAUAACUCAUGGAAACUUGUGCUAAUACCGAACGGGCGCUGCGGGGGAAAGAUUGAUCGCCUUUAUAGCGGCCCGCGUCUGUUUAGCUAGUUGGUGAGGUAACGGCGCACCAAGGCGACGAUCAGUAGCUGGUCUGAGAGAAUGAUAAGCCACUUUGGGCCUGAGACACGGCCCAAACUCCUACGCGAGGCAGCAGUGGGGAAUCUUGCGCAAUGGGCGAAAGGGUGACGGAGCCCUGCCGCGGGAAUGAUGAAGGUCGUAGGAUUGUAAAAUUCUUUAACCGGAGGCGAUACUGACGGUACCCGGAGAAGAAGCCCCGGCUAACUUCGUG